rnacentral:tRNA from 1 species
AGGGGCUUCGUCCAAUGGGAGGACACRGGUAAAAUCCUACAUACUGGAUUUGAUAAUUCUGAAAUCUUGGUUCAAUUCCAAGRGCUCCUA